rnacentral:rRNA from 1 species
GUAAGGAAUAUUGGACAAUGGACGCAAGUCUGAUCCAGCCAUGCCGCGUGAGUGAUGAAGGCCUUCGGGUUGUAAAGCUCUUUAGCCGAUGAUUAUAAUGACUGUAGUCGGAAAAUAAGCCCCGGCUAACUUCGUGCCAGCAGCCGCGGUAAUACGAAGGGGGCGAGCGUUAUUCGGAAUCACUGGGCGUAAAGCGUGCGUAGGCGGUUUUGUAAGUUGGGAGUGAAAGCCCAGGGCUCAACCCUGGAAUUGAUCUCAAAACUACAAGACUUGAAUUCGGGAGAGGAUAGCGGAAUUGUCAGUGUAGCAGUGAAAUGCGUAGAUAUUGACAGGAACACCAGUGGCGUAAGCGGCUAUCUGGACCGACAUUGACGCUGAGGCACGAAAGCGUGGGGAUCAAACAGGAUUAGAAACCCUGGUAGUCC